GGUGGAGGUGGAGAGAGCCACCAGGGUGCUGAGCUGCCCGGGAUGGGUUUGGCUCCGGGGUUUAUCUGGCAUCUCCUCCCUCUGACCCGCACCUUCCCGGUGCCCCUGGCCCCGAGGGCUCUGCCAGAUCCUGCGGGGUCCUGGCUCUGCAACCAGCACCUGGAGCAGGGGAAACUCCAGGCUGAGACCGAGAGCCCCUUGGUUUGGGAGCAGGAAAAUCCAUCCUGCAGAGCCCUAACCACCGGCAGCAGGGCUGUGUGCUUGCAGGGCUCCUCGCUGCCUGCUCCCAGACACCAAAACCCCAACACUGAUCUCCUGGAGCCUGGCUGUGACCUGCUGAAGACACAAAUAAUUCAGUCAGGCUGCAGCAGCAGCAGCUCCUCAGCUCAUCCCUGAGAAAUCCAUCGCUCAGUUUUAGGAGUUUCCCAUUCUGGACCUUUACAGUUCCCCUUCCGAGCUGUCUUCCAGAGGCACCCUCGUCCCUACGAGCAGGUCAGAGCCACCUCUGCGAGGUCAGAGAGGUGCUGCCAAGCACAGCACGGGCUGUGGGCUUCUUCUGUCCCCUCGCCCAGGCUGUGGCAUCGCUGUCCCCAUGGGUGUGGGGUGCUGGACCCCGGUGGGUGCUGCCCCUGCACCAUAGUGUGGGGCUGUCCCCAUGGGGACCCUGACUCACCCCCACGUGGCAGAGGUGUGGCCCGCCCGGCGCAGCAGCUGUCCUACAAACAUUUAUUUGCUUUCCUUCCUUGUAUUCGCUGUGCUGGGGAAGGGAAGGGAGAGCUCUGGGGGAUCGCUGCAGUGUCUGGAGGGGAAAACCAUCCGCCAGGACCUCCACGGUCCCUCUUCGGUGCCAGGAUCCCUCGCAGAGGAAGGUGGCACAGGGCUGGGGCUGAGUGCUGGGGUAGCAGCGACGUGGCAAAGGCACUGGAGGGUGGAACAGCAAGAAUUGCCUUCCUUUUUAUUUUUUUUUUGCUAGAUUUGUUCCAGAUGUGCCCGUGGCGCUCUGCCCGUUGUCUGAUAAGGGGCUGGAGUCCCAAAAGCUGCGCUCGGCCCCCCGGUGCCGCUGCGCUCUGCGUCUCCAGCUUGUCCUUGCCCGAAAGGUUUAAUAACAAGUGUUUUCCUGCCUCUGGCGUGUUUGGUGCCUUUGCAAAGAGCCCCGUGGAGGAGCUGGAGCCUUCCCCAACCGAGCAAAGCUCAAAGGGGCCGUGCUGGACUCCAAAAUCCUGGCAGGGAGCAGCAGGAGCCGUGCGAUUCUGCGCCCCUCUGGUGCUGGGGGGCUGCGGGCACCCGGCGUGCUGCGUGGAGGGGGG
rnacentral:lncRNA from 1 species